AGAGUUUGAUCCUGGCUCAGAAUCAACGCUGGCGGCGUGCCUCAGACAUGCAAGUCGAACGAUUAAAGCUCUCUUCGGAGAGUGCAUAAAGUGGCGCACGGGUGAGUAACACGUAAGUAAUCUACCCUCGGGUGGGGAAUAACAUCGGGAAACCGAUGCUAAUACCGCAUAAUGCAGCGGCACCGCAAGGUGACAGUUGUUAAAGGAGUAAUUCGCCUGAGGAGGAGCUUGCGGCAGAUUAGCUAGUUGGUAAGGUAAUGGCUUACCAAGGCUACGAUCUGUAACCGGUCUAAGAGGACGGUCGGUCACACUGACACUGAAUAACGGGUCAGACUCCUACGGGAGGCAGCAGUCGGGAAUUUUGGGCAAUGGGCGAAAGCCUGACCCAGCAACGCCGCGUGAAGGAUGAAGUAUUUCGGUAUGUAAACUUCGAAAGAAUGGGAAGAAUAAAUGACGGUACCAUUUAUAAGGUCCGGCUAACUACGUGCCAGCAGCCGCGGUAAUACGUAGGGACCAAGCGUUGUUCGGAUUUACUGGGCGUAAAGGGCGCGUAGGCGGCCCUACAAGUCACUUGUGAAAUCUCCGGGCUUAACUCGGAAUGGCCAAGUGAAACUGUAAGGCUAGAGUGCAGAAGGGGCAAUCGGAAUUCUUGGUGUAGCGGUGAAAUGCGUAGAUAUCAAGAGGAACACCUGAGGUGAAGACGGGUUGCUGGGCUGACACUGACGCUGAGGCGCGAAAGCCAGGGGAGCAAACGGGAUUAGAUACCCCGGUAGUCCUGGCCCUAAACGAUGAAUACUUGG
rnacentral:rRNA from 1 species